rnacentral:rRNA from 1 species
GACGAACGCUGGCGGCGUGCUUAACACAUGCAAGUCGAACGGAAAGGCCCUGCUUUUGUGGGGUGCUCGAGUGGCGAACGGGUGAGUAACACGUGAGUAACCUGCCCUUGACUUUGGGAUAACUUCAGGAAACUGGGGCUAAUACCGGAUAGGAGCUCCUGCUGCAUGGUGGGGGUUGGUAAGUUUCGGCGGUUGGGGAUGGACUCGCGGGUUAUCAGCUUGUUGGUGGGGUAGUGGCUUACCAAGGCUUUGACGGGUAGCCGGCCUGAGAGGGUGACCGGCCACAUUGGGACUGAGAUACGGCCCAGACUCCUACGGGAGGCAGCAGGGGGGAAUAUUGCACAAUGGGCGGAAGCCUGAUGCAGCAACGCCGCGUGCGGGAUGACGGCCUUCGGGGUGUAAACCGCUUUCGCCGGUGACGAAGCGUGAGUGACGGUAAUGGGUAAAGAAGCACCGGCUAACUACGUG